AUUGAACGCUAGCGGGAUGCCUUACACAUGCAAGUCGAACGAGUGGCGGACGGGUGAGUAAUAUGUCGGAACGUGCCCCGUAGCGGGGGAUAACUACUCGAAAGUGUGACUAAUACCGCAUACUAUGGUGUAGGCCGAUAUCGGUAUGGCGUGUGGGUGGGGUAAAGGCGACACAAGGCAAAGAUCCGUAGCUGGUUGGAGAGGACGACCAGCCACACUGGGACUGAGACACGGCCCAGACGCCUACGGGAGGCAGCAGUGGGGAAUUUUGGACAAUGGGGGAAACCCUGAUCCAGCCAUCCCGCGUGUAUGAGAAGGCCUUCGGGUUGUAAAGUACUUUUGGCAGAGAAGCGGUAUCUGCAGAAUAAGCACCGGCUAACUACGUGCCAGCAGCCGCGGUAAUAC
rnacentral:rRNA from 1 species